UACGAAGGGGGCUAGCGUUGCUCGGAAUCACUGGGCGUAAAGGGUGCGUAGGCGGCCUUGUAAGUCAGUGCUGAAAUAUCCCGGCUUAACCGGGAGGGUGGCAUUGAUACUGCAGGGCUUGAGUAAAGUUGAGGUUGGCGGAAUUGACGGUGUAGCGGUGAAAUGCUUAGAUAUCGUCAAGAACACCGAUAGUGAAGACAGCUAACUAAGCUUUAACUGACGCUGAGGCACGAAAGUGUGGGGAUCAAACAGG
rnacentral:rRNA from 1 species